rnacentral:rRNA from 1 species
GUUUACAGUCAUACCACCCUGAAUGCUCCCCAUCUCGUCUGAUCUUGGAAGCUAAGCAGGGUCCGACCUGGUUAGUACUUGGAUGGGAGUCCAAGCUCUAUUCAGCGUAGAUGUCAAGA